GACGAACGCUGGCGGCGUGCUUAACACAUGCAAGUCGAACGGAAAGGCCCUGCUUUUGUGGGGUGCUCGAGUGGCGAACGGGUGAGUAACACGUGAGUAACCUGCCCUUGACUUUGGGAUAACUUCAGGAAACUGGGGCUAAUACCGGAUAGGAGCUCCUGCUGCAUGGUGGGGGUUGGAAAGUUUCGGCGGUUGGGGAUGGACUCGCGGCUUAUCAGCUUGUUGGUGGGGUAGUGGCUUACCAAGGCUUUGACGGGUAGCCGGCCUGAGAGGGUGACCGGCCACAUUGGGACUGAGAUACGGCCCAGACUCCUACGGGAGGCAGCAGUGGGGAAUAGUGCACAAUGGGAGGAAGCCUGAUGCAGAAACGCCGCGUGCGGGAUGACGGCCUUCGGGUUGUAAACCGAUUUCGCCUGUGACGAAGAGUGAGUGACGGUAAUGGGUAAAGAAGCACCGGCUAACUACGUG
rnacentral:rRNA from 1 species